rnacentral:rRNA from 1 species
AAAACACUUUUGGCAACCGAUAUCUUCGCUUUUCCAUCCAUUAAAAAAGUAACCAAAUGGCAUACUUGGUGGGGAUUGGAAAAUUCCGGGGAACCUCCAGUCCUUUAACGCCAGUUGGGCCCCCAGCCCUUUGGGCCAAGGGACCCCUGGCUGGGUGGCACCCC